GUUCCCAUCUCGAACACAGUAGUUAAGCUCUUCAGCGCCGACAAUACCUGGUGGGCGACUGCCCGGGAAGAUAGGACAUUGCCGGUU
rnacentral:rRNA from 1 species